AAGGGCUUAUGACCAGACCUUUGCAUUGGGAAUCAUCCGGUGUUCUCACCGGUGCACUUCCCUUUGUUGAGGCCAGCAUCAGUUCUAGUUGGGGGAUAAAGACUUAAGGAAUGUGAUUCCUCCGGGAAUGUUAUAGCCUUCUGUGUAAUACCCUGACCGGGACUGAGGACCGCGCUUCGGCUAGGAUGCUGGCAUAAUGGUCAUCAGCCA
rnacentral:rRNA from 1 species